rnacentral:rRNA from 1 species
CCUACGGGUGGCAGCAGUGGGGAAUAUUUCACAAUGGGGGAAACCCUGAUGCAGCGACGCCGCGUGAGUGAAGAAGUAUUUCGGUAUGUAAAGCUCUAUCAGCAGGGAAGAAAGAAAUGACGGUACCUGACUAAGAAGCCCCGGCUAACUACGUGCCAGCUGCCGCGGGAAUACGUAGGGGGCAAGCGUUAUCCGGAUUUACUGGGUGUAAAGGUAGCGUAGACGGCGAUGCAAGUCUGAAGUGAAAGGCGGGGGCCCAACCCCCGGACUGCUUUGGAAACUGUAUGGCUGGAGUGCAGGAGAGGUAAGUGGAAUUCCUAGUGUAGCGGUGAAAUGCGUAGAUAUUAGGAGGAACACCAGUGGCGAAGGCGGCUUACUGGACUGUAACUGACGUUGAGGCUCGAAAGCGUGGGGAGCAAACAGGAUUAGAUACCCUGGUAGUC